AUUUUUUAUAGCUGAAGUUGAUGGAUUGAUUGUUUAUGCAAUGAGAAAGUUCUAAACAGCAAAAAAACACUGUAUUUGCAUAUUUAUAGAGCAAUUAUUUUCUGCAAUUGUUUCCGAUAUAAAGGUAUUUUUCUUAUAGCUGAAAUUGAGCAAUGAGAAAGUUCUAAACAGCAAAAAAACACUGUAUUUGCAUAUUUAUAAAGUAAUUAUUUCCUGCAAUUGUUUCCGAUAUAAAGGUAUUUUUCUUAUAGCUGAAACUGAGCAAUGAGAAAGUUCUGAACAGCAAAAAAACACUGUAUUUGCAUAUUUAUAUAGCAAUUAUUUUCUGCAAUAGUCUCCGAUAUAAAGGAAUUUUUCUUAUAGCUGAAGUUAAGCAAUGAGGAAAUUCUAAACAGCAAAAAAACACUGUAUUUGCAUAUUUAUAUAGCAAUUAUUUUCUGCAAUAGUCUCCGAUAUGAAGGUAUUUUUCUUAUAGCUGAAGUUGAGCAAUGAGAAAGUUCUAAACAGCAAAAAAACACUGUAUUUGCAUAUUUAUAAAGUAAUUAUUUUCUGCAAUUGUUUCCGAUAUGAAGGUAUUUUUCUUAUAGCUGAAGUUGUGCAAUGACAAUAUUCUACAACAGGAUAAAAAAGAGAAUCUAUAAUUCCAUAUUUAUAUAGUAAUUCUUUCCUAUCAGUGUGCUUCCAAAUGUCAUGAAACUGGGUGAGAAAAAUCUUUACAAUCUUUGCUUUUUAAAAAUAAUAAUAAUAAAAAAGAAAAAGAAAAAACUAAUAUAAUUGUGAACUAUUAUUAACUCUUUCACAAUACUCAGAAAAAAAAUAAAGUCUGGCAAUGCAGAUUAAUAUAAAAUGAAUCUUGGUAUGUCUCUGUUGAAAUCAUUACAAUUACAUCAUCAUCAUCAUCAUCAUCCAUAUUUCACCGUCUCCUAAUCAUCAAUAAGUUAAAAUGCUGGAAGGCUGUCAUCCGUUCACUGUCUCCGUCAAGUGCUUCCUCCCUCCCAGCACUCACGACAGGUCAUACAAAACAGUAAAAAGUCACUAACUCUCUAACUUAACCAAGAAGUCUCAGGCCUAUAUUUUCAAACAUUUCCGAGCUCACACACAUUUGUUUAGGUUUUGGUAGAGGCCGUUGUGGGUAUUUCCAUGGAGUGUUUUAUGAGCCUGGCUAUAGUUUGACAAGGCUUUGGUGGAGGUUGUUGUGUUAGUAUUUCCAAGGGCAGUUUCAUGAGCCUAGUGAUGGUUUGACAAGGCUUUGGUGGAGGUUGUUGUGUUAGUAUUUCCAAGGGCAG